GGGGUGCUAGAGCUAUUCCACACAGGUUUGACUCUCUGCCACCUAUAGGUGGAGCGAGGGAGCAUGAGUUGUCAUCUGUUCCUCGUGAGAGAAAAGAGAUUCAGUAACUACAAGAGUGGAAGUGGCAUCUUCCUGUUAUUUGGUGUGACUUUGGCCCCAGUGGAAGAGACUACAGCUAUAGAAGUGAAUCAUAGCUUUUCAAUCCAGUGAAGAUCUUUGUUAUUGUAAGAAGUGGAUAGUGGUACCCAUAUCCUUGAAGAUGCAGGAGUAGAGUGAUGGUUUAGAAAUAGAUAUCUCACUUCUUUGACCUUCUGGUACCCCAUUGUUAUGGUUGGAGUGCACACAAGCCACUGAAACAAUGUAUCUUACAGUAAAUUGCCCUAUUAAGUGGUUUAUAUCUGAUUUUUACCAGAUACUACCAUUUUGAGGCAGUGGAGACACCCAAGUUUGUUCCAAAACAUGGCUGACAGAUUAACACUUUGAAUUCACAAAUGUGGCUCAGUGUGAUGUGUGUGCAUCCUUCAGGGAGCAAAAUCUGAGGCUAUUCCCAGAAAUGCCAGGGUGCUGCUCUGUAGGGCUGGAAAUAAGCAAUGGACACAUCCUCACAGUAAAUCUUCGUUGCUUUUAUCACCCUCCUUGCAGAACUUUCUGUGGGAUCCAGAUUGCUUUGGUCUACUGGACAGAAUUCCAUAUUCUAGAUCUUUCCAUUUUCUUAUGACUCCAGGUUUGAUGAUUCAAUGGAUGGGAACUAAGAUUGUCUGCUGCUAUCUUGCUGUCUUAAAUGUGGAUUUUGUCUCAACACUGCCAAUCUUAAAGCAUGAAUGCCCCUGGCACAGGCUCUAGGAGAUGGUUGGAGGAAUGAGUCUUUCAUAGAACUGUGAAAGAAGUGCAGCCAAAUCAGGGCAAAGCAUGGGAGAAGAGAGGGAAGCAUGUGUGAGGCCAGGAAUAUUUGGUGCAGAGGUGGCACUUAGGUCUCUUUUUACUUCAGGCAACGAUGUUUUCCCCUCUGCUAUGCUUUUGUGAGAAAGUCAAGUUUCAAAUAAAAUAGCAAAUAACCCUAAUGAAGCAGCAAUUUAGCUUGAAUCAGCAAUAUUCUACAUACAUUUGCCUCACAGUGUGACCCGAGCAAACCUCCCCUUCGUGAGAAGGAGCAGGCACCUCAUUUGCUGCCUUUGGCUGAAGAUUUGCCAUAUUUAAGAGAACAAACAUGAUUUCCCUAGAAUCUAACUUCUAAUGUGCUAUGGUCAGACUAAGCUUUUAUAUUAGUCAUAUGGCAUUUUCCUCAGAGCCCACAUGGAAAACCCACUGUCUCGUCCUACUGAAUGUUCUGUGCAAAGUAUCAUCAAAGAAGCCAAAUGCCCUGAACUCCAUGGGAGAAAACCGCAGAGGACACAGUUCUGGACCUGAUUCCUGAGCAGGCUUGCUCAGAUCCCCCAGUGCCUCUCUGCCCAGGAUCAUCUCCAGGACCAGUGCAGGGCCCAGAACAAAUCCUCACCUCCACCCCCUAGUUUUUUUUUUUUUUUUUUUUUUUAGGGCUGCACCCUCAGCAUUUGGAAGUUCCCAGGCUAGGGGUCAAAUUGGAGCUACAGCUGCCACCCUACACCACAGCCACAGCAACUGGGUUAACAAUCCGGUGUUGCCGUGAGCUGUGGUGUAGGUUGCAGACGCGGCUUGGAUCCAGCGUUGCUGUGGCUCUGGCGUAGGCUGGUGGAUACAGCUCCGAUUAGAUCCCUAGCCUGGGAACCUCCAUAUGCCAUGAGAAUGGCCCAAGAAAAUGG
rnacentral:lncRNA from 1 species